rnacentral:tRNA from 1 species
UGCAACGACCGAAAAUCGAACCCGGGCCGCCCGCGUGGCAGGCGGGCAUUCUACCACUAAACCACCGACCC